rnacentral:rRNA from 1 species
UACGUAGGGGGCAAGCGUUGUCCGGAUUUAUUGGGCGUAAAGAGCUCGUAGGUGGUUCGGUAAGUCGGAUGUGAAAUCUCCAGGCUCAACCUGGAGGGGUCAUUCGAUACUGCCGUGACUAGAGUUCGGUAGGGGAGUGUGGAAUUCCUGGUGGAGCGGUGAAAUGCGCAGAUAUCGGGAGGAACACCAGUGGCGAAGGCGACUACCUGGCCUGUUCUUGACGCUGAGGCGCGAAAGCUAGGGGAGCAAACGGGG